GGUUAAGGAAGCAAGAGCAUCUGGAGGAUGCCUGGGCACAUCAAGGCGAAGAAGGACGCAGCAAACGGCGAAACGCGUCGGGGAGUCGUAAGCAGACAGAGAACCGGCGAUGUCCGAAUGGGGGAACCCAUACACCAGGAAGGGUGUAUAUCCACUGCGAGCGCAGAUGGAGGGAAAACUCAGGGAACUGAAACAUCUAAGUACCUGAAGGAAAAGAAAGUAAGAACGAUUUUCUGAGUAGUGGCGAGCGAAAGGGAAGGAGCCCAAACCGACGAUAGUCGGGGUAAUAGGGCCG
rnacentral:ncRNA from 1 species